rnacentral:rRNA from 1 species
CCUAGAUGAAUUUGGUGCUUGCACCAGAUGAAACUAGAUACAAGCGAGCGGCGGACGGGUGAGUAACACGUGGGUAACCUGCCCAAGAGACUGGGAUAACACCUGGAAACAGAUGCUAAUACCGGAUAACAACACUAGACGCAUGUCUAGAGUUUAAAAGAUGGUUCUGCUAUCACUCUUGGAUGGACCUGCGGUGCAUUAGCUAGUUGGUAAGGUAACGGCUUACCAAGGCAAUGAUGCAUAGCCGAGUUGAGAGACUGAUCGGCCACAUUGGGACUGAGACACGGCCCAAACUCCUACGGGAGGCAGCAGUAGGGAAUCUUCCACAAUGGACGCAAGUCUGAUGGAGCAACGCCGCGUGAGUGAAGAAGGGUUUCGGCUCGUAAAGCUCUGUUGGUAGUGAAGAAAGAUAGAGGUAGUAACUGGCCUUUAUUUGACGGUAAUUACUUAGAAAGUCACGGCUAACUACGUGCCAGCAGUCGCGGUAAUACGUAGGUGGCAAGCGUUGUCCGGAUUUAUUGGGCGUAAAGCGAGUGCAGGCGGUUCAAUAAGUCUGAUGUGAAAGCCUUCGGCUCAACCGGAGAAUUGCAUCAGAAACUGUUGAACUUGAGUGCAGAAGAGGAGAGUGGAACUCCAUGUGUAGCGGUGGAAUGCGUAGAUAUAUGGAAGAACACCAGUGGCGAAGGCGG